rnacentral:rRNA from 1 species
UACGUAGGGCGCAAGCGUUGUCCGGAAUUAUUGGGCGUAAAGAGCUCGUAGGCGGCCAACUAAGUCGGAUGUGAAAUCCCCAGGCUCAACUUGGGAACUGCAUCCGAUACUGGAUGGCUUGAAUCCGGGAGAGGGAUGCAGAAUUCCAGGUGUAGCGGUGAAAUGCGUAGAUAUCUGGAGGAAUACCGGUGGCGAAGGCGGCAUCCUGGACCGGCAUUGACGCUGAUGAGCGAAAGCUAGGGGAGCAAACGGG